AAAGAUCGAAUGGGGAGAUUCAUCGACGACGAUGCUGGCUUCCGUAGACGUGCGAUGCCCCGAUUAUAGGCCUUCGUGGUUCCAAUGCGGGGAUACGCUGUUUGCGGCUUAAAUGUUCCGGCUAUGUAGUCGUGCACUUCUCCCUUUGUAGAACGUCGCGACCCGUUGCGUGUCGGUCUACGGUCCGAGUUGUUGGCUGUCGCGUCGCCCCGGUGCGUGCGCGGCAGACGCUCGAUCGCCUGGCCGGCUGCGUGACGGUACGCUGUGAGAGACGGUAUCGGGCCGCAACCAAUCCAUUUUCGAAUGUAUGUGCGUCAGGCCCGCCGCAAGCUCGGUUAGUAAUUACCCGGUGGUACGGACCUAGCGCCGGCUCCGGGCCUAACCAGCUGUUGGUUGGCGGUGUCCUUGGACUGGCCAAGCUUUGAAUUACCGGUCAGCGACGCUACUGCUUUGGGUCCUCUCAGGACCCGUCUUGAAACACGGACCAAGGAGUCUAACAUGUGCGCGAGUCACUGGGACUUGUAAACCUAAAGGCAUAAUGAAAGUAAAAGUUGACCAUUGCUGGUCGACCGAGGGAGGAUGGGCCGCGUCACGAUGCGGCCUCGCACUCCCGGGGCGUCUCGUUCUCAUUGCGAGAAGAG
rnacentral:rRNA from 1 species